CCUACGGGAGACAGCAGUGGGGAAUAUUGGACAAUGGGGGGAACCCUGAUCCAGCGACGUCGCGUGAGUGAAGAAGUAUCUAGGUAUGUAAAGCUUCAUCAGCAGGGAAGAAAAUGACGGUACCUGACUACGAAGCGCGAGCUCACGACGUGCCAGCAGCCGCGGUAAUAAGUAGGGGGCACGCGUUAUCCGGAUUUACUGGGUGGAAAGGGAGCGUAGACGGUGCAGCAAGGUCGAUGUGAAAGGUCGGGGCCCAACCCCGGGACUGCAGUGGAAACUGUUGAACUGGAGUACAGGAGAGGUAAGCGGAAUUCCUAGUGUAGCGGUGAAAUGCGUAGAUAUUAGGAGGAACACCAGUGGCGAAGGCAGCUUACUGGACUGUAACUGACGUUGAGGCUCGAAAGCGUGGGGAGCAAACAGGAUUAGAUACCCGAGUAGUC
rnacentral:rRNA from 1 species